UUAGGAAUAUUGGACAAUGGGCGCAAGCCUGAUCCAGCCAUGCCGCGUGAGUGAUGAAGGCCUUCGGGUUGUAAAACUCUUUAGCCGAUGAAUAUAAUGACUGUAGUCGGAAAAUAAGCCCCGGCUAACUUCGUGCCAGCAGCCGCGGUAAUACGAGGGGGGCGAGCGUUAUUCGGAAUCACUGGGCGUAAAGCGUGCGUAGGCUGUUCAGCAAGUCAGAAGUGAAAGCCCAGGGCUCAACCCUGGAAGCGCUUUUGAAACUGCUGGACUUGAAUUCGGGAGAGGAUAGCGGAAUUGUCAGUGUAGCAGUGAAAUGCGUAGAUAUUGACAGGAACACCAGUGGCGUAAGCGGCUAUCUGGACCGACAUUGACGCUGAGGCACGAAAGCGUGGGGAUCAAACAGGAUUAGAUACCCCCGUAGUCC
rnacentral:rRNA from 1 species